CCUACGGGGGGCAGCAGUGGGGAAUAUUGGGCAAUGGGCGCAAGCCUGACCCAGCAACGCCGCGUGAAGGAAGAAGGCUUUCGGGUUGUAAACUUCUUUUCUCAGGGACGAAGCAAGUGACGGUACCUGAGGAAUAAGCCACGGCUAACUACGUGCCAGCAGCCGCGGUAAUACGUAGGUGGCAAGCGUUAUCCGGAUUUACUGGGUGUAAAGGGCGUGUAGGCGGGAAAGCAAGUCAGAUGUGAAAACCAUGGGCUCAACCUGUGGCCUGCAUUUGAAACUGUUUUUCUUGAGUACUGGAGAGGCAGACGGAAUUCCUGGUGUAGGGGUGAAAUGCGUAGAGAUUAGGAGGAACACCAGUGGCGAAGGCGGUCUGCUGGACAGCAACUGACGCUGAGGCGCGAAAGCGUGGGGAGCAAACAGGAUUAGAUACCCGGGUAGUC
rnacentral:rRNA from 1 species